rnacentral:rRNA from 1 species
AUUGAACGCUGGCGGCAGGCCUAACACAUGCAAGUCGAACGAGUGGCGGACGGGUGAGCAAUGUCUGGGAAACUGCCUGAUGGAGGGGGAUAACCACUGGAAACGGUCGCUAAUCCCGCAUACCAUCGGAUGUCCCCAGAUGGGAUUGGCUAGUAGGUGGGGUAACGGCUCACCUCGGCGACGCUCCCUAGCUGGGCUGAGAGGAUGACCAUCCACACUGGAACUGAGACACGUUCCAGAUUCCGACGUGAGGCAGCAGUGGGGAAUAUUGCACAAUGGGCGCAAGCCUGAUGCAGCCAUGCCGCGUGUAUGAAGAAGGCCUUCGGGUUGUAAAGUACUUUCAGCGGGGAGGCGUUACCCGCAGAAGAAGCACCGGCUAACUACGUGCCAGCCGCCGCGGUAAUAC